GAUGAACGCUGGCGGCGUGCCUAAUACAUGCAAGUCGAGCGAAUGGAUUAAGAGCUUGCUCUUAUGAAGUUAGCGGCGGACGGGUGAGUAACACGUGGGUAACCUGCCCAUAAGACUGGGAUAACUCCGGGAAACCGGGGCUAAUACCGGAUAACAUUUUGAACCGCAUGGUUCGAAAUUGAAAGGCGGCUUCGGAUGUCAGUUAGGGAUGGACCCGCGUCGCAUUAGCGAGUUGGUGAGGUAACGGCUCACCAAGGCAACGAUGCGUAGCCGGCCUGAGAGGGUGAUCGGCCACACUGGGACUGAGACACGGCCCAGACUCCUACGGGAGGCAGCAGUAGGGAAUCUUCCGCAAUGGACGAAAGUCUGACGGAGCAACGCCGCGUGAGUGAUGAAGGCUUUCGGGUCGUAAAACUCUGUUGUUAGGGAAGAACAAGUGCUAGUUGAAUAAGCUGGCACCUUGACGGUACCUAACCAGAAAGCCACGGCUAACUACGUGCCAGCAGCCGCCGUAA
rnacentral:rRNA from 1 species